rnacentral:rRNA from 1 species
AUCAAAACCAAAAAUAAUUUUAAUUAUUUAAUCCUUUCGUACUAAAAUAAUUUUUUUUUUUUAAAAGAUAGAAACCAACCUGGCUUACGCCGGUUUGAACUCAAAUCAUGUAAAAUUUUAAAGGUCGAACAGACCUACUUUUAUAACUGCUGCAAUUAUAAAGAUAUUUUAAUUCAACAUCGAGGUCGCAAACUUUUCUUUCGAUAAGCACUCUUAAGAAAAAUAACGCUGUUAUCCCUAAAGUAACUUAAACUUUUAAUCUUUAAUUAGGAUCAAUCAUAAAUUAAUUCACGCAUAGGUGUAAUUAAAAUUAAGCAGUUAUCAAACAUUAUACUUUUAUCGCCCCAAUAAAAUAAAUUUAAUUAUUAGAUUUUUAUUGAAAAAAAAUUUAAUCAAAUAAAAUUUUAAUAUUAAGCUUUAUAGGGUCUUAUCGUCCCAUUAAACUAUCUAAGCCUUUUCACUUAGAAGUAAAAUUCAAUAAUCAAUACAAAGACAGUUUUUCUUUUGUCCAACCAUUCAUACAAGAUUCCAAUUAAAAAACUAACGAUUAUGCUACCUUUGCACGGUCAGGAUACCGCGGCCAUUUAAUAUUUAUUAAUCAGUGGGCAGGUUAAACUUUUUAUAACUACAAACAGACAUGUUUUUGAUAAACAGGCAAAGAAAUUAUUUUUGCCGAAUUCCUUUAUACUGUCCAAUUAAUUUUAAAUAGUUUUUAUUAUUUUAUUAUUUUUUUUUACAAUAAAUUUUUACUUAUAGAAUCAUUUUAAUUUUUUUUAUUUUGUUUAAAUUUAUUUUUUAAUACUACAAAAAGCUUUAAUAAAUAUUAUAUUAAAUUAUGAUUUAAUUAAAACACUUUAUUAAUAUGACUAUUUUUAAGCCUAAUUCAUUAUUUUGUUUUUAUUUUGCUUUUUUUUAUUCAAAUUUAUAAGAAGCUAAUCCCUCCUACAUUUUAAUUUUAUAUUUUAUAAACAUAAAAAUUGAAUUAAAUUCUUUUUUAAAAAACUAGAUAUAAUAAAACUCGAUUAGCAUUUCACCUUUAAUUUUAUAUUCAAAAUUUAUUUUCCACAAAAAAUUUUUUAUAAAAUUAGCUAUAUUUUAUUUCGAGAUAUUUAAUUCAUUAAUUUAUAUAAAUUCUCCCUGAUACACGAGGUACAAUAAUUUAACUUUUCUAACUUAAAUUUUAUUUUACUUUCCUUUACAGUACUUUUAACUAUAGUCUUACAAAUCAUAUUCAUUAAAAAUUACUAGCGAUUAAAAUUUUAAAAUUAUUUUUCUUAAAUUUUCUAAUUAGUAUUAUUUUUUGACAAGUUAUAAA